rnacentral:tRNA from 1 species
UAUCGUCCAGCAAGGGAGGACAACGGGCUCCAGACCCGUAAGCCGUGGGUUCAAGUCCCACUAGCCCCA